UACGUAGGGUGCGAGCGUUGUCCGGAAUUCUUGGGCGUAAAGGGCUCGUAGGCGGUCUGUCACGUCGGGGGUGAAAACUCAGGGCUUAACCCUGAGCCUGCUUCCGAUACGGGCUGACUAGAGGUAUGCAGGGGAGAACGGAAUUCCUGGUGUAGCGGUGAAAUGCGCAGAUAUCAGGAGGAACACCGGUGGCGAAGGCGGUUCUCUGGGCAUUACCUGACGCUGAGGAGCGAAAGUGUGGGGAGCGAACAGG
rnacentral:rRNA from 1 species